GCUGUAUAGCUAAGUUGGUUAGAGCAUAGUGUUGAUAACACCAGGGUUGUAGGUUUGAUUCCCCUACAGUACAGUUGCA